CAAAAGUCUACAGUUUAUUUAAUUGAUUUGGUUUUGGAGACAGUAAAUGGCUGGACUCUGCAAAUGUUAAGUAGUUUAUUCAAUUUAAACUUUUCAGUUUUCCAGUAAAACUACUGUUGGAGAUGCUAUUGUAGUUACAGGCAAAAGUUCUCUGUAUGUCUUGUACUCCAUGUUGCUGCAAUUAAUGUGUUGAGCUUUUUAAAACUACCUAAGAACUGGCCAUGCAGAGCAUAACACUAAGGCCAAUAAACUGAAAGUGGAACUGGAUUGUAAAAGCUAUGAGCAACAGAGUGAUAGAGCCAAAGUAGCGUUCUGUGAAUCUUUUAAGCAGUUUAGAUGCUACUCAUGGCUUCUCAUUGCCAGAAACGAGAAAUACUCAAAAGCAAAACAGAGUGUUGAAACAAGUAUAUCACCUUUAUUUUAUGUUUUGAAGCAAUCUUUUUUCAGUUCGGAGGUUGUGCAAUCCUGUUAAAUGGAGAUGCUUUUCGCAUUCUAGCAGUGGAUAAUUUUACUUUCUAUUAUUUUCCUUUUCAUUAUAACUGAUCUUAAGCAGCCUUGCUUGAGACUCUGUUGGCAAACAAUUCUGAACUGUUUGUUCAUGUUGCAGUAUGUUAUGUAGUGGAAAUGUUUGCAGCAUAGUUAUGUGAAAUAUUACAGGUUGAGGCAAAUAUUUGAAAUUAAACAGCAUAAUUUUCAUUAUUUUUCUGGUAAUAAAGGAAUAUGUAGUGGAAAUGUUUAUACUUCUGUCUCAUCAACAGGGCCUAGCAUUUGCUCUUGAGAAUGCAGUUGAGAUUAUGCUACAGUGCUUCCUAGUUUUCCUUGGUAAUAUAGUCUUUACUGUUGAAUCAUAAGAAUGAAUUGCUGCAAAAUGGGUGGUAAUUAUUUAAAAUACUUAACAAAGUGAAGCUGACAAAGUGACAGUGUAUCUCCAUACUGUAAAGAGCCAAAAGAAUAUGAUUUUAUGAUUAGUUAUGUGCUGUUUUUCAGCAGCAUUGCAUUUUGUUUAAAAAGUCCUGUCAUUAAGACCAAUUUCAUAUGUGUAUGGGACUCUGGUAUAAGCAUAAUUUGAGCCACUGAGUGAAUUCUCGUUCUUGUCCUAAGCAAGAUGUAACAACCAUUAAUAGCUUUGUUGCAGAAUCAAAAUCUUCAUUGUAAAUACUUGCUGUUUGUUUAGUUUAAGUUGUUGAAGUUGAGAACUCUAUUUAGAUUUUUCCAUUAGUCUCAAUAAAACUAGUCUCUAUCAGACGAGUCAAAUUUUUCAGCUGUACCUUGUUCUAGACAACUUCAGAGAUAAAAUUUACAGUUGAAGCUUGCAAACAAUACAUUGGAGCUAAAGUUCUGCAAAUUCAGUAUUUAUUCUUUUUUUAUUAUUUUUUAAAGGUUUUCAUUUUUUUAAAAUCAAAGACUGAUACCUUUGGUACCUAGUUUCUUAAAUCUUUAUUUAAUUCUAGUCCUCACGUGCUGCUGCAGUGGGUUUAAUCCUGCUCAUAUUGGUUGUUGGCACUUCUGACUUCUGCUCAGAGUGAAUGAGAUUCAGCCUGUCUACAAGUCUUUGCAGAAUCAAAGGUCCUGCAGGGUCAGUUAAUCUGUUUCCCUUUUGUGAGUUGUAUGGAUAGUGUCUGUUUUAUUUUGUAGUGGCUUAUGUUUGGUUACUGUGUUCUAAUAUAAUUGUUUAUUCUGGCAAUAAAUUUUCAGGUUGGGGUUUUUUUUUUAAACUUUUUUUGGCCCAGUUUUUUAUCAGCAUUUUCACUGCCACUUACCUGUUUAACAGCUUACAUUAAGUGGGUAGCAUAUUAAUAAUAAAACUUUCUAUUUAAUGUAAGAUUACCUCAGAUGUAAUCUUUCAUACUAUCUCUUUAGAGCUUCACUAAGUGAUUUAUGAAGUUAUUUUCAUUCUCUAUCUUCAUUUGCUGACCUACUGUUUAGAAACGUACAACUAAUAUAUAUUGGAAUAAUUCUUUGAAGUGUUGUCCUGGUUUCAGCUGGGAUAGAG